rnacentral:tRNA from 1 species
GGGAAGGUGGCUCAGUGGUAGAGUGCUUGCCUUGCAUGCAUGAGGCCCGGGGUUCGAUUCCUCAGCCCA